UACGUAGGGGGCAAGCGUUAUCCGGAUUUACUGGGUGUAAAGGGAGCGUAGACGGCAAGACAAGCCUGGAGUGAAAGGCGGGGGCCCAACCCCCGGACUGCUCUGGGAACUGUCUGGCUGGAGUGCUGGAGGGGUAAGUGGAAUUCCUAGUGUAGCGGUGAAAUGCGUAGAUAUUAGGAGGAACACCAGUGGCGAAGGCGGCUUACUGGACUGUAACUGACGUUGAGGCUCGAAAGCGUGGGGAGCAAACAGG
rnacentral:rRNA from 1 species